rnacentral:rRNA from 1 species
AUUGAACGCUGGCGGCAUGCCUUACACAUGCAAGUCGAACGGCAGCACGGGUGCUUGCACCUGGUGGCGAGUGGCGAACGGGUGAGUAAUACAUCGGAACAUGUCCUGUAGUGGGGGAUAGCCCGGCGAAAGCCGGAUUAAUACCGCAUACGAUCUACGGAUGAAAGCGGGGGGCCUUCGGGCCUCGCGCUAUAGGGUUGGCCGAUGGCUGAUUAGCUAGUUGGUGGGGUAAAGGCCUACCAAGGCGACGAUCAGUAGCUGGUCUGAGAGGACGACCAGCCACACUGGGACUGAGACACGGCCCAGACUCCUACGGGAGGCAGCAGUGGGGAAUGUUGGACAAUGGGCGAAAGCCUGACCCAGCAAUGCCGCGUGUGUGAAGAAGGCCUUCGGGUUGUAAAGCACUUUUGUCCGGAAAGAAAUCCUUGGCCCUAAUACGGUCGGGGGAUGACGGUACCGGAAGAAUAAGCACCGGCUAACUACGUG